rnacentral:tRNA from 1 species
GGUUAUAGCUCAGAGGUAGAGUGCUUGCCUAGCAUGUGUGAGGCACUGGGUUCAAUCCUCAGCACCA